GCCGGAGUAGCUUAGCCUGGUUAUAGCACUAGACUCAUAAUCUAGGGGUCGGGGGCUCAAAUCCCCCCUCCGGCA
rnacentral:tRNA from 1 species